CAGCACCGCAAGUGGUCAGGAUGAUUAUUGGGCCUAAAGCAUCCGUAGCCGGCGCUGUAAGUUUUCGGUUAAAUCUGUACGCUCAACGUACAGGCUGCCGGGAAUACUGCAGCGCUAGGGAGUGGGAGAGGUAGACGGUACUCGGUAGGAAGGGGUAAAAUCCUUUGAUCUAUUGAUGACCACCUGUGGCGAAGGCGGUCUACCAGAACACGUCCGACGGUGAGGGAUGAAAGCUGGGGGAGCAAACCGGAUUAGAGACCCGAGUAGUCC
rnacentral:rRNA from 1 species